UACGUAGGGUGCGAGCGUUGUCCGGAAUUACUGGGCGUAAAGAGCUCGUAGGUGGUUUGUCGCGUUGUUCGUGAAAACUCACAGCUUAACUGUGGGCGUGCGGGCGAUACGGGCAGACUGGAGUACUGCAGGGGAGACUGGAAUUCCUGGUGUAGCGGUGGAAUGCGUAGAUAUCGGAAGGAACACCAGUGGCGAAAGCGGCUUCCUGGUCCAGCACCGACGUUCAGGCACGAAAGCGUGGGGAGCAACCAGG
rnacentral:rRNA from 1 species